GGGAACGAAACGGUAAAGGUGUGCUGUGUGGACGCCUGUUCACAUAUUCUAACCCUAGGUUGUCGAGCUGGAUUCGCGUUACAGUUUGUAGUUUUCAAAUCAGCUUUCUACAAACUGCGAGUUCAUUUAUUACGGAAUAGCCUCGCAAAAAGUUGGUUUACCUUUUGCCGUUUAAAGGAGAAUUCAACGUACGAAGCUGGAGCAUACAUGUUGACUUGGUCGUGUCCCACACAUUCUCUUUUGUGUAGGUACGGGCGACCUUGUCCGAUGUAUGCAAAUGGCGUGCAUGCGGCGUGCAUUGCCUCCUGAGCACGGAGCCUUCUGUCGACAACUGUCAAUCGCAUCGUCCGUGUGUAGACGUCUGCACAUUGGCAGUGCACAUUGAGUAGAAUGUUAACAUUGGCUAAGAUGUGUUCAAGUACACUGCAAUGUAUGCCGUCUGUGUAAAGUACAAGAUCAAAUUUACAAAGCCUGGUAGAAAUGUCUUGCCCAGAGACAACGGCAAGAGAUGGUCCAGUCUUUGUACAUAA
rnacentral:telomerase_RNA from 1 species